CCUACGGGAGGCAGCAGUGAGGAAUAUUGGUCAAUGGGCGCGAGCCUGAACCAGCCAAGUAGCGUGAAGGAUGAAUGCCCUACGGGUUGUAAACUUCUUUUAUAAAGGAAUAAAGUGAGGCACGUGUGCCUUUUUGUAUGUACUUUAUGAAUAAGGAUCGGAUAACUCCGUGCCACAAGCCGCGGUAAUACGGAGGAUACGAGCGUUUUCCGGAUUUAUUGGGUUUAAGGGGUGCGGAGAGGGGUUGUUCAGUCAGUGGUGAAAGUUUGCGGCUCAACCGUAAAAUUGCAAUUGAUACUGGCAGUCUUGAGUACAUGUGAGGUAGGCGGAAUUCGUGGUGUAGCGGUGAAAUGCUUAGAUAUCACGAAGAACUCCGAUUGCGAAGGCAGCUUACUAAACUGCCACUGACAUUGAUGCUCGAAAGUGUGGGUAUCAAACAGGAUUAGAUACCCCUGUAGUC
rnacentral:rRNA from 1 species